CCCUCAGCAGCCACCUUCUGCACUCGGCGCCACAGCUGGCCUCUGCAGCGACAUCCUCGUCUCCUCGUCUGCCGCCAGGCAUCCCCACAGCACUUUGGCACUGUGCAAGGUGGAAAGGAGAGGCGCAAUGAAAAGGAAAGCAAGAGCCUACACUGAGCCACACAUCAAUGUUGGCAGUGACUUUCAGGCCGAGCUCCCUGAGCUGCAGACCGGGCCGCCAAGUGAGGAUGAAGAGCCUGCAACCCUGGAAGGUCUGGAAGCCCUUGGAGGAAGACGACCCUGACAUGGAAAAACCGGACAGAGGUAGCUGUCUAGCUUUCCUUCCACUCCUGAGAUAUUCGGGUGUGUAAAAUGCUGGUUUUUGGAUAAAAAGGCAGCUUUUGGCAGGCUCUGCUUCUCUCCUUGUCAUGCCCAUCUUCCCUUCUGGAAGUUGUAGGGGCAAGGAGAAUGCUCUGCUUCUGCAGCAGAGCAGGAAAAAGAGCAACUGUGCUGCUCUCCAAAUGGGUCAGGGGCAUGUGCCACUGGAAGAGGGGAGAUUGGCCCCCACUCCUUAUGCCUAAAGCUGCAUGGAAGGGAGAGGCAGC